rnacentral:rRNA from 1 species
ACCUCGCGCCUUGCCCCCACCUCCCCAUGGCACUUCACCGGCUGCAGGUGGCCUCCGCGCCCCAUACCGCGCGGAUCUAGCAUGCCCUGCAACCGGCGGCCUUCCACCAAAAGCACCGGAUCCACCGACACGGGCUCUUGCACUACCGUGAAAGAAGCGGAUCCUCCCCUCGUCCUCGACCCGAGCAGCAACACGGAGGUGUUCUUGCGCCGCCCCGUGCGUACCUCCCUUCCCCAGCCCAGAUCCGCCUCCAAGGCGGCCGGAUCCGCCCGAAUGGCGCGCGGCACGGCCACUACCUACCCCCAGUGCGACCUUCUCCCUCCUCACGAGCUCAACCCCUCCCCAAAUUAUUCUCUGCGGCAGCCUACCUUGCAUGGCUUUCCUCGGCAGCCGUCGCACCAGUUCGCUAGCGCAAGGGCGCGUGCAGUUCUGCCCGCGGGGGCGAGCAGUGCACUUGGCUCGUCCCUAUGAAACAGUAGUGACCUUCUCCCUACGACGGGGCGAGGAGAUCCGGCGGUCUCCGACUGUGGUCGAGGUCGUGGCCACCACACGCGUCAACAAUAGCGAGAUUCCACCCCUUGGAUGCACUGCAGUUCAGUUUUGGUGGGCGCCACUGUCCUCUGGCAGGCGUGUGUGCAGUGCGGUCCGGUGGCGGGGUAGCCACCACUGGACUCCGGCGGUCCUCUUCCCGUCACGUGAGUUGGGGCGUCCGUGCAGUGCGCAAGAACUUGAGGACGAUUGACACGCACUUCGGCAGGAGUUUACUUGGUGUGGACAGGAGGUUCUCCAGCUGGCUCAUGCAGCGAGCAGUGCAGGUUGCUCUUCACUGCAGGUCGGUUGGACCAUUGGUGCAGUACCCAAAUCGCUACUGUUUUUGCUGUUGCUCACACACAUCACCGGUGGUUCACCGGAGCACCCCCUCGCAGCUCUCUCCUUCCCCAACAUGCAGUUCACCGGCGACGGCCUUCAGUUCGUUUUGGUUGCUGUCGAUGCCAUCCCCACUGUAGUACAGUGUAUGUGCGUGUUUUGCGUGGUAUCCGGCUGGGGGCCUAUGUUCCUUAACAAUGUAAAAAAUAGCAUGAAAAUGAAGUGCACUUCUGUUGUAUCCAAGUUUCAGUUCCCCCUCAAUAUGAAGGAAAUAUGUCCUAGAGGCAAUAAUAAAGUUAUUAUUUAUUUUCUUAUAUCAUGAUAAAUGUUUAUUAUCCAA